GACGAACGCUGGCGGCGUGCUUAACACAUGCAAGUCGAACGGAAAGGCCCUGCUUUUGUGGGGUGCUCGAGUAGCGAACGGGUGAGUAACACGUGAGUAACCUGCCCUUGACUUUGGGAUAACUUCAGGAAACUGGGGCUAAUACCGGAUAGGAGCUCCUGCUGCAUGGUGGGGGUUGGAAAGUUUCGGCGGUUGGGGAUGGACUCGCGGCUUAUCAGCUUGUUGGUGGGGUAGUGGCUUACCAAGGCUUUGACGGGUAGCCGGCCUGAGAGGGUGACCGGCCACAUUGGGACUGAGAUACGGCCCAGACUCCUACGGGAGGCAGCAGUGGGGAAUAUUGCACAAUGGGCGGAAGCCUGAUGCAGCAACGCCGCGUGCGGGAUGACGGCCUUCGGGUUGUAAACCGCUUUCGCCUGUGACGAAGCGUGAGUGACGGUAAUGGGUAAAGAAGCACCGGCUAACUACGUGCCAGCAGCCGCGGUGAUACGUAGGGUGCGAGCGUUGUCCGGAUUUAUUGGGCGUAAAGGGCUCGUAGGUGGUUGAUCGCGUCGGAAGUGUAAUCUUGGGGCUUAACCCUGAGCGUGCUUUCGAUACGGGUUGACUUGAGGAAGGUAGGGGAGAAUGGAAUUCCUGGUGGAGCGGUGGAAUGCGCAGAUAUCAGGAGGAACACCAGUGGCGAAGGCGGUUCUCUGGGCCUUUCCUGACGCUGAGGAGCGAAAGCGUGGGGAGCGAACAGGCUUAGAUACCCUGGUAGUCCACGCUGUAAACGGUGGGUACUAGGUGUGGGGUCCAUUCCACGGGUUCCGUGCCGUAGCUAACGCUUUAAGUACCCCGCCUGGGGAGUACGGCCGCAAGGCUAAAACUCAAAGGAAUUGACGGGGCCCCGCACAAGCGGCGGAGCAUGCGGAUUAAUUCGAUGCAACGCGUAGAACCUUACCUGGGUUUGACAUGGAUCGGGAGUGCUCAGAGAUGGGUGUGCCUCUUUUGGGGUCGGUUCACAGGUGGUGCAUGGCUGUCGUCAGCUCGUAUCGUGAGAUGUUGGGUUAAGUCCCGCAACGAGCGCAACCCUUGUUCACUGUUGCCAGCACGUUAUGGUGGGGACUCAGUGGAGACCGCCGGGGUCAACUCGGAGGAAGGUGGGGAUGACGUCAAGUCAUCAUGCCCCUUAUGUCCAGGGCUUCACGCAUGCUACAAUGGCUGGUACAGAGAGUGGCGAGCCUGUGAGGGUGAGCGAAUCUCGGAAAGCCGGUCUCAGUUCAGAUUGGGGUCUGCAACUCGACCUCAUGAAGUCGGAGUCGCUAGUAAUCGCAGAUCAGCAACGCUGCGGUGAAUACGUUCCCGGGGCU
rnacentral:rRNA from 1 species